rnacentral:rRNA from 1 species
GACGAACGCUGGCGGCGUGCUUAACACAUGCAAGUCGAGCGGUAAGGCCCUUUCGGGGGUACGACGAGCGGCGAACGGGUGAGUAACACGUGGGCGACCUACCUUCAGCUCUGGGAGUAAGCCUGGGAAACGUGGGUCUAAUACCGGAUAGGACCGCAUGUCGCAUGGUGUGUGGUGGAAAGUUUGUUCUUAAUUGGACACUUCGGCUGGGGAGUGGGCCCGCGGCCUAUCAGCUUGUUGGUGGGGUGAUGGCCUACCAAGGCGACGACGGGUAGCCGGCCUGAGAGGGCGACCGGCCACACUGGGA